rnacentral:rRNA from 1 species
UACGUAGGUCCCGAGCGUUGUCCGGAUUUAUUGGGCGUAAAGCGAGCGCAGGUGGUUUAUUAAGUCUGGUGUAAAAGGCAGUGGCUCAACCAUUGUAUGCAUUGGAAACUGGUAGACUUGAAUGCAGGAGAGGAGACUGGAAUUCCCGGUGUAACGGUGGAAUGUGUAGAUAUCGGGAAGAACACCAAUGGCGAAGGCAGGUCUCUGGGCCGUUACUGACGCUGAGGAGCGAAAGCGUGGGGAGCAAAUAGG